CCUACGGGGGGCAGCAGUGGGGAAUAUUGGACAAUGGGGGGAACCCUGAUCCAGCCAUGCCGCGUGUGUGAAGAAGGCCCUCGGGUUGUAAAGCACUUUCAGUGAGGAAGAACGCCUGGUGGUUAAUACCCAUCAGGAAAGACAUCACUCACAGAAGAAGCACCGGCUAACUCCGUGCCAGCAGCCGCGGUAAUACGGAGGGUGCGAGCGUUAAUCGGAAUUACUGGGCGUAAAGCGCGCGUAGGUGGCUUGAUAAGCCGGUUGUGAAAGCCCCGGGCUCAACCUGGGAACGGCAUCCGGAACUGUCAAGCUAGAGUGCAGGAGAGGAAGGUAGAAUUCCCGGUGUAGCGGUGAAAUGCGUAGAGAUCGGGAGGAAUACCUGUGGCUAAGGCGGCCUUCUGGACUGACACUGACACUGAGGUGCGAAAGCGUGGGUAGCAAACAGGAUUAGAUACCCGAGUAGUC
rnacentral:rRNA from 1 species